rnacentral:rRNA from 1 species
UACGUAGGGUGCAAGCGUUGUCCGGAAUUAUUGGGCGUAAAGAGCUCGUAGGCGGUUUGUCACGUCUGGUGUGAAAAUCCAGGGCUUAACCCUGGACCUGCAUCGGGUACGGGCAGACUAGAGUGCGGUAGGGGAGAUCGGAAUUCCUGGUGUAGCGGUGAAAUGCGCAGAUAUCAGGAGGAACACCGGUGGCGAAGGCGGCUCACUGGCUCGUAACUGACGCUCAUGCACGACAGCGUGGGGAUCAAACAGG